rnacentral:rRNA from 1 species
AUAUCGGUUCUCGUUAGAUCACCAAAGUCAAGUAUCAUUGGGCGCGGUCAGUACUUGGGUGGGUGACCACCUGGGAACACCGCGAGCCG